rnacentral:lncRNA from 1 species
UUGGUGACUGGAGCAGUCAAAUUUCUCUCGGCGCCGGGUGAGCAGAGAGUCGGGCGGGGGACUGGCGGGGGUGGGGGGGACCAAACUGACGUGUGAGGCGUGGGAGACAGGCGGGGCUCUCGUCUUGUCCCUUCCCUCUCGCUUUGCCAACCUUGAGGCUGCGCAUGUUGGAAACCGGGGACUCAGGGGUCUCGACAUUUACGAAGCGGAUUGGCUCCUGGACUCUGGGGCCUCGAACCCUCUGACGGGCAAGAGCCCCCGCAGCCGAGUGGCCAGCAGUCGGCUGAGUUGGCCGGAGCUGGCGUCUGGACGGGCCGUCCGAGCUCGGCUGGUCCAAGCUUGCAGUUGGCCCCGGCUAUCCGAAUGGCAUGUCCCAAAGAGGGAUGCCCCUUCACCUUGGUCCCAGAAUGAUGGAACAAAGUUGAAGAUGACUGCGAUAGGCCAAUAACCUGAAGAGAAAGAAACCUUCCUGAAGAAGUGUGCCCUCUUCCAGUCCGUUCCCAGGCCUGCCUCAUCUUCCACCCUAGAAUGAUUGACCAUGGAAACAUCCAAUUUCUUCAACCUCAUCCACCAGGUACUCUUUAGCCUUAGGAGAAUAGGCAAGGUAAUAGUAACAACUUAAAAGACGUACUUCAAAGUCUGGUUAUUCAAUUAACAAAAACCCAUGGGUGGGUUGCCAACAAUUUAGCCAUGGUAAAACUGUUACAAGGCCAUUCUGGUUCUUUACUGGAGCAUGAUGUUAAGAGAAGGUAAGACCUGGCUCCUGAUAUAGACUGUUCUAAACAAAUCUGUGAGAAAAUUUUUGUAUAAAACACAUUCAUAUCUCCCAAGGGGAGGGGGAAAAUUUUCAGGCAUAAGACUAAAUCCAUAUUUAGGAAAAAAAAAAUAUAUCUGUCUCUGUAUCUGCAAGGGUGUAUUUACACUAAAGAUAGCAAAAUGUAUUUGAUCAAUGGUGCAUUUAACAUGUUUGUCUGAAGUACCAGCUUUCAGAUGAAUGGUGACUUAACAUUUUUCUCUAAGAAUAAUAGGUGGUUGAAACAUGAGAGACUAUGGACUAUGAGAAACAAACUGAAGACUUCAGAGGGGAGGGGGUGGGGGAAGGGGAUAGACUGGUGAUGGGUAGUAAGGAGGGCACGUAUUGCAUGGUGCACUGGGUGUUAUACGCAACUAAUGAAGCAUCAAACUUUACAUCGGAAUCUGGGGAUGUACUGUAUGGUGAUUAACAUAAUAUAAUAAAAUUAAAUUAAAAAAAAAGAAAUAAAACAUAAAUGAUUGGCAAAAAAAAAAGAAUAAUAGGUGGUUAUUAUGUUUAUAAAAGUAUUCUAGUGAUUUUCCUAAAGCAAAGGAAUCGGCUCCAAAGCUGAAUUAAUGUUUCCACUAACAUGUUUGAGAUGAUGUCUUUUCAGAAAAGAAAAAAACCAAACUUGAUUUCAUUGAAUACCCUACUCUAAGGGUGAGAAAGGCCCCUAUCCAGAUUGGGGGAGGGAGGGAGAGAGGAUGGAGAAGCUGUUCAGGAUGGGGAAUGACUGAAGAGAGUGCCGAAGGUCAGCUUAGGAGCCAGGUGAGCUAGGGCAGGGAGGCCAGGAGACAGUGAUCCAGACAGAUCCUGGAGACCAGAGAGAAAGAGGGUGGUUUGAGGAGGUGACAUUUUGGUUGUGAGGCCAUGGAGGUGAUGACAUUUUGGUUGUGAGGCCAUGGAGGGGAUGAUAUUUUGAUGGUGAGGUCAUGGAGGGUAUGAUAUUUUGGUUGGGCAGUUUUGACAUUAGCACCUAUUUCAUGACUCUAUAAAAAAACAAACCAUAAACUUUGAGUUUUGAAAAUCACUAGGCAAUUUGUAAAACAGACACUCUCACCUCCUCUCUUAUUCUCAAAGAUGGAAGGACACCACAGAGAGAUGAUUAGGUUGAAAGUACAAGGAAUUAUAGGCUGUAUCAAAGACUACAUAGUUUGUAGACUAUGUCAAAAUGGACAUAAAACAUCUUAUUUCCUGAGUCUUUAUCACAAAAGUUUCUCUGUACCUAAUACCAUGCCUAUAGUAUUCUAUAUCUAUUUGAUGAAUGAAUGAUUAGGGGAAGGUUAUAAAGGAUUUUAAUACAAUUCUUCAAAUAGGUGUCUCAUUUAUAAUUCUCCCAUACCCAAAUAAGAUAUUUAACUACCUUUAUGAGAUGGUCUUACUAUAUUAUCUCAUUUGAUCAUCCUAACAACUCCAUAAAGUAUAUAUAGCAUAUAAUUUUCAUUUUAUGGCUGUGGAAACCUAAGCUCAAGGUAAGUGAUCCAAGGUCACAGAUUAGAAAUGGAAAAAAAAAAAAAGUGGGGGCGCCUGGGUGGCACAGCGGUUAACCGUCUGCCUUCCGCUCAGGGCGUGAUCCCGGCGUUAUGGGAUCGAACCCCACAUCAGGCUCCUCCACUAUGAGCUUGCUUCUUCCUAUCCCACUCCCCCUGCUUGUGUUCCCUCCCUCGCUGACUGUCUCUAUCUCUGUCAAAUAAAUAAAUAAAAUCUUUUAAAAAAAAUGAAUUUUGAAUCCGGGUUUAUUGCUUCUAGUUCAUUCAUUAAUUUAUGCAUUCAAUAAACAUCCAGGGAUGUAUAUCUGCAUUCUCUAUUGAAACCUCAG